CUCAUCCGGAAGGGAGCAGAACUACUAGAAAAACCUAUUCAACCCAGGUUUCCUCAUCGAUUGGAUCUAGGAUAUCCAUUUCCUACUCUUUUUUUUUUGGAGAAUUCCAUUUCCGACUUGACAAAUACUUAUCAUAUAUGAUGUAUAUAUAGGCGCUCCUAUAGGCUAUAGUUUCUAAAUUAUUCUUCCGAAACUGACCGAAAGCUUUUGCUUUUCUUCGUGGGUGUACUCUCCCUUCAACUUUUUCGCUAGUUUUGAUCUGUUUCUACUUCUCCCUCUAUCUACUGGGAGCUGCAGAUUUUGAGAAUUGGGUUUGCUUCAGGUUUUUCAAGAGCGGUUAGUAGUCCUUUGAAUAGACAGACAAGGAUGGAAUUGGUUAGUCCAUCUUUUCGAAGGUUUCUGGGGGAUAUAUGCAUAGUCUGCAAAGUUGGAUUGAUGUUGUUGCUCACCAUCUUUGUUAGAAGGAUUUCUGAGGAGAAGAAGAUUAAAUGCGCUCUACUUCUCAGAAGAAUUUUUGAAGUUCUUUUUACACACUACCGCUUGUCAAGAUUGACGUUAUUUCACAUUCUAAAUUUUAUUGAACGCAAGCUCACUAUUUCCAUUAGAAGGGUGCGAGAGUACACACAAAAAUGUCAUUCUGAAUGCGAAGAAGAUACCAGCAGGUGGUCCAAUGAACUCCCAGAAGAUAUCAUGCAAAAUGUUCUACAACGGUUAUGCCUAUCAGAUUUCUUUCGGUGCAGUGCAGUAUGCGUUUCUUGGCAAGCCACUGUUGAUAUGGCAAUUGCCAGCAAGUAUUGUCGUCCUACUCCGGAAUUUCCAUGGCUUAUGCUCUGUUCUCAUCCCUUCUCCAUAAAAGAUAAUUGCUUUCUAAGUCUAACUGAUGACAAGAAAUUUAUUUGCAAGUCAGCUCCUACCUAUAAUAUGAAGAGGGGGGAUUGUGUUGGGUCAAUUGAUGGGUGGUUGAUCAUGGCUGAUAGUGUUUUAUGGCGUCCUGAGAGAUUUAUGAAACCCUGGUCAUUUUACUUGUAUAAUCAUCAUACCAGUACUUUUAGUAUCAACUUCUUCUUUUUGAAUCCAUUAUCAGGUGUUCGAGUGAACCUCCCAUCAUCAAAAUCCACCCUUCCAUGUCACUGCAGCAAUGGACCUGGCUUCUGCAUUUUAAAAGUAGCUGCCUCAUCAGUACCAACAAGCCAGGACUGUUAUGUCGUUAGCCUUUGCAUAAGUGGUCAUUUGGCUUUCAGUAGGCCCAAUGAUAAUUCAUGGACUCUCAUUGAUCAGGGGGACGCUAGAGGGUUUAUUUUUUGUGAUAUAGAAAUAAUUUAUGGGAAAAUAUAUGCUGCAACUACGGAGGCAUCCAAGUUUUUAAUGGUAUUUGAUGUCCAUUAUGGCAAUGGCCCUCCUGGCUAUAGGGCUGAAAGGUUGGUCAUGCUUGAGCCCAGUCCAGUUCCUAACAUGUUUCUUAAUAUUUGGAGAACAGAUGGAGUUGAAUCCCAUUCAAACUGCGAACUCAUUUCCCUAGCAAAAAAUUCUCUAUCAGAGGAGUUGUUUAUGAUAUUCUGCAGUACUACCUUUAUUCUGGAGGAGGAUCAAUCUCCUUGGCAUGUGAUCUUUGGUAGUGAUUUUAUCCUUCCACCACAGAUUCAAGCAUUUCGAGUGUUCAAGAUGGAGUGGAAGAUUAAUGGUCCUCAGUGGAUAGAGGUUCUUGACCUCGGUGACCAGAUAUUAUUUGUGGCUGUGGGUGGUAACAAAAUGAUCUCUACCAGCAAUUUCCUUAAUCAUAAUGGUCUCAAUGAUAAAGCAUUUCAAAGAAACUGUAUCUAUUUUGCUUACCAUAGUUCUUGUUUAACAUUGCCAUCGAAGGGGCGGAGUUUUGGGGUGUUUUCUUUGACAAAUAGGAGCAUCAAAUGUGUCACCUUCCCCGAGGAACAUUCAUUUACCCAAUUAUAUUCUCGACCUGUCUGGUUCACACCAAAUCCUUGGUAGCUCAGUUAACUCAGUUUUUAUAGUAUCUUUAUGGGAUGUCCUUGGGGGCUGUUGAUGUUUAUUUUGACUGAUUUUAAGACGGUAAGGUUGGUUGCUUUGUAUCAUAUGACUUUAGUUGGAUAUAUUCAAUCAUACUUUGCUCACACUUCCAUUCAUACCCAGUAUUCCUUAAUGCUGAUACAUGAUUUGUUUGGACUGGACCCAGUUUAUUUAAGUUGGUGCAUGGUUUUAUUUAUUUAUAGUUAUUUUACUUUAUUUUAUUGUGCUUCAACGAAUUCUUCUUUUUCUUUCUCACUUGAUGAUGGACUGAAUUGUAGUCUGAAAAAGUGGACAAAACUCUAAUGGGAGUUUAUGAAGCUGGUAGGUUAUAAAGCACAAGCAUUUUUUCGCACCUCUUUUGUUCUCCAUGAAAAGAGUUGGGAAAUCUCAGCAGUGCCUGCCGUUCAAACAAUAUCAAUCACUUUGCAGUUCUACACUCAAAGUCCCGUUUCUUGGGUUCUGUGGUAAGUUAUGUUCUUCUAUUCUUGAAUUUGUCUUAUGCUUGGUCUCAUAAUAGCUUGGAAUGUGAAUCUUGUGAAUCCACUUUCUAGUCUCUGUUGGUUUGCUAAAAUUAGUGACAAAUUUGCACGGGGAAUUUUAUAAAGCCUGUAGCUGUAUAAUGAAUCUUUUUUCAGAAUGUUGUUGACUGUUUGAGACUUGUUUCUGGCUACUAAUGUUGUGGACUUCAGAUGAAAUAGCAAAUCUUUAGGCAAAUGUUUGGUUUGGGGCUUGUGGUUUGAUUUUUCUGCAGAUCAAUGCAUGAUAUUAUUCUUAAUACUCUGCUGGAUUUAAGUUUGAGGUUGCAUUGUUGAGUUUCGGGGUCUUUUUUAUUAUUAUCCUAAAUUAUGCAUGUGACCCAGUAUGGUUUCCAUCUUUUGAAUUAUCACCACUAGUUAUACAGUUAAAUCGAUUUGAGCAAUAGGUACUUAUUUCUGUGACCUGUUUUUGUUGGAAUUACCCUUUAUUGUGGUUCUGAAGUAUUUCAACUGAAUUGUGUUUUGUGGUCGUGUACUAUGACCAGGUCACUUGGGUCAUGUGCUCAGCAAGACCUGUGGGAAUUCAAACAUCUGUUAAUCCUAGCUUUUGAUUUCCAACAGGUACAAACGAUAACUUAUUUACUAACCAAUGUUUGUCAAAUUUUGGUUUUAGUUCAUCACUCUUUUCCUGUUCUCUAUCAGAAAUGGUAAUAUGAUAACUUUUAGGUCAUUUUGUUUUUCUCGACUACAUUUCCCAGUACCUUUCUUUGACAUUAUAAUUUAAAUUCUGUUCUUCUUUACUCCGUUGGUCCUUGUUCUUUUCAAUUUUUCAUCCCAAAUGAUUCUCAUAUUUUAUUUUAUUUCUUAGACUUCAUUAAUCAUUCUUUAACGUUGCCCCACUAUGUGAAGAUCAGCAGAACUUAUUUAGUUACAAUAGCAUCUCGACAUCAUGAUCAUCCAUCAGUGACGCUUCCCUCACAUUCAACAGAUGAAAAAAAAAAAAAAAAUCACACUUUAAAAAGAAGUAGUUGUGAUCGCUGUCUGUUCAAAAGUAAGAAAUGGAGUAGUGGAAAGAAUAUCAACUGGUUCUGUAUCACUAAGAAUUGAUACAAUGCUUGGAAACUUUGAACAUGGAGGAAUUUUAUGGUAAUAGGUUUUGAAUCUUUGAAGCACUUUGUUGAUGCUACUUGGAAAAAGUGAUGUCUUCCCAUAUGUUGCGCCUGAUGAUGGAAAAAAAUUGCUUAGAAUUCCAAGUUCAACAAGCGAUAAUUCCGACCUGAGUUUUUAGCCAGAUCGGAAGUUCGGGUUCAAGUUUCCACAGGGAUCCAAGGUUUACCGCAAGUCAGUUGAUUGAUUGAUCUAGUGUUGAAACAAUUUCCUGUAUGGUUUACAUCCAUGUACACGAAUAUUAUUUUUCUUCUUAUAUCCAUUUUAAAGAAUAUAAAAUUGGGUUUCAGAACUUUGGACAUGGGAUCUCGAACAUGGAAGCCUGAAUAAGGAAUUUGAAACCU